UUGACCUCAAAUCGGGUGAGACUACCCGCUGAACUUAAGCAUUA
rnacentral:rRNA from 1 species